rnacentral:rRNA from 1 species
GAUGAACGCUGACAGAAUGCUUAACACAUGCAAGUCAACUUGAAUUUGGGUUUUUACCUUAGGUUUGGGUGGCGGACGGGUGAGUAACGCGUAAAGAACUUGCCUCACAGCUAGGGAUAACAUUUGGAAACGAAUGCUAAUACCUAAUAUUAUGAUAAUAGGGCAUCCUAUAAUUAUGAAAGCUAUAAGCGCUGUGAGAGAGCUUUGCGUCCCAUUAGCUAGUUGGAGAGGUAACGGCUCACCAAGGCGAUGAUGGGUAGCCGGCCUGAGAGGGUGAUCGGCAACAAGGGGACGGAGACACGGCCCGUACUCCUACGGGAGGCAGCGGUGGGGAAUAUGGGACAAGGGACCGAGAGUCUGAUCCAGCAAUUGUGUGUGCACGAUGAAGUUUUGCGUAAUGUAAAGUUCUUUCAGUUGGGAAGAAACAAAUGACGGUACCAACAGAAGAAGUGACGGCUAAAUACGUG